rnacentral:rRNA from 1 species
AUUGAACGCUGUCGGCAGGCCUACCACAUGCAAGUCGCACGAGUGGCGGACGGGUGAGUAAUGUCUGGGAAACUGCCCGAUGGAGGGGGAUAACUACUGGAAACGGUAGCUAAUACCGCAUACCAUAGGAUGUGCCCAGAUGGGAUUCGCUUGUAGGUGAGGGAACGGCUCACCUAGGCGACGAACCCUCGCUGGUCUGAGAGGAUGACCAGCCAUACUGGAACUGUGAAACGGUCCAGACUCCUACGGGAGGCAGCAGUGGGGAAUAUUGGACAAGGGGCGAAAGCCUGAUCCAGCUAUGCCGCGUGUGUGAAGAAGGUCUUCGGAUUGUAAAGCACUUUAAGUUGGGAGGCGUUACCAACAGAAUAAGCACCGGCUAACUUCGUGCCAGCAGCCGCGGUAAUAC